AUCUCUUUAAAUCGGAAACGUUGGCGGAAUAGUUCUGGAUUUAGAUAAGAAUUACCCAAAUUGCUGUCUCUGUCGUCAUAGGCUUUGCUGUAAUACAAUAUGCAAUCGCCAAAAAACCAGAACCUGACAGAAGCAUUGCAGCAGUGGUGAUGUCCCUGUGCACCCCAUACCAGAAGGCUAAGAAGGAAUAUGACAUGAAAUGCAACCGUACCCUCACCGAUGGGUUGAAGGGGCAUUCCGACAAAGCUAAGAUUUUUAUUGAGGCUGCCGACAGCAAGACAUACUGCACGGGGAAUGAGAAUGAAGGAUCGUUGCUUCGUUUUGACACGGCAUGUCAUGUGAUUGCUCAUCUCUGUGACUACAUGCAACUUGGAGAACUGAUGAAGUGCCCCCAUGCUCAACCACUGGCUAAGAGAAAAAGCCACGUGAAAAGUAGCUCCAAGAAAUCUGUGCGAAGGAAGGAAUAAUUCAAUUCAACCAACACGGAUGGAUUUUCUGCAAAUACAAAGUUUAAUACAAUUAGUUUUCACCUCUACAUUUGAAGCAUAUAACGACAAUUAUAACAGCCUUAGUUCCAGUGGUUUGCUUGAUCUCAAUCUAUGCUAGCAAUAAUCAUGGUUGAGAUGAUAGGCAUGAAGAACUUUUUAUUGGGGGUUACUUAUAUUUAUAUGAGAAAUAUCUUCUCCGUGAUUUACUAAUUUCAAUGUUACUUUAAAUCUUGGAAUAAGAAUAUGGAUUUAAAUGAAAUAAAAAUGAAAUAUUGUUAUUCAUUUGAUAUUCACCUUUAUUGGAAAGUGUUAAUUAAGUAAGAUAAGGAUUACACCAACGUCACAAAUUUGGAAUGUCAUCCUUUCUUUCUUCGACCCAUAUAAAUUGACGAAAGAUGCACUAAUUGAUAUUGUGUUAGAUAAUUAUAUUUGUUUUGGCAGCCGAGCUGUA
rnacentral:misc_RNA from 1 species